CUACGGGGUGCUGCAGUAAAGAAUCUUUCGCAAUGGGGGAAACCCUGACGGAGCAACACCGCGUGGUGGAUGAAGGCCCUCGGGUCGUAAACACCUUUUCUGGGGGAAGAAGUUCUGACGGUACCCUAGGAAUAAGCACCGGCUAAAUACGUGCCAGCAGCCGCGGUAAUACGUAUGGUGCAAGCGUUAUCCGGAAUCAUUGGGCGUAAAGCGUUCGUAGGCGGUUCAAUAAGUCUGAGGUUAAAUCCCGGAGCUCAACUCCGGAAUCGUCUUAGAAACUGUUGAACUAGAGUUAUGCAGAGGUAAGUGGAAUUCUGUAUGUAGGGGUAAAAUCCGUAGAUAUACAGAGGAACACCAAAAGCGAAGGCAGCUUACUGGGCAUACACUGACGCUGAGGAACGAAAGCGUGGGGAGCAAAGGGGAUUAGAUACCCCCGUAGUC
rnacentral:rRNA from 1 species